UUGUCAACGAUGACCAGAAUGACAUUACGACCAGAAUAAGUCCUAGGUAGUCUGAUGACAAACUCCAUGGUUACAUGCUCCUAUUUCCAUUCUAGAAUCAGGAGGCCCUUUAACAAACUAUCGAGUCUCUGGUGUCCUGCCUUAAUCUUCUACAAGUAAGGUAUCUAGAGAUAUAGUAAAAAAUGUCCUUCUUUAUUCCCAACCACCAGUAUUGGCGCUUCAAGUCCUGGUGCAUCUUGGUACUCCCGAGAUGGAUAGACAGUUUGGAGGUGUGGGCAAUCAUGAGAACAUCCAUCUUGACA
rnacentral:lncRNA from 1 species